AUUGAACGCUGGCGGAAUGCUUUACACAUGCAAGUCGAACGGCAGCACGGGGGCAACCCUGGUGGCGAGUGGCGAACGGGUGAGUAAUACAUCGGAACGUGCCCAGUCGUGGGGGAUAACGCAGCGAAAGCUGUGCUAAUACCGCAUACGAUCUACGGAGGAAAGGGGGGGAUCUUAGGACCUCCCGCUACAGGGGCGGCCGAUGGCAGAUUAGCUAGUUGGUGGGGUAAAGGCCUACCAAGGCGACGAUCUGUAGCUGGUCUGAGAGGACGACCAGCCACACUGGGACUGAGACACGGCCCAGACUCCUACGGGAGGCAGCAGUGGGGAAUUUUGGACAAUGGGGGCAACCCUGAUCCAGCAAUGCCGCGUGUGUGAAGAAGGCCUUCGGGUUGUAAAGCACUUUUGUCCGGAAAGAAAACGCCGUGGUUAAUACCCGUGGCGGAUGACGGUACCGGAAGAAUAAGCACCGGCUAACUACGUGC
rnacentral:rRNA from 1 species